rnacentral:rRNA from 1 species
AUAACUACUCGAAAGAGUGGCUAAUACCGCAUAUGAUCUUCGGAUUAAAAGCUUUUCGGGCGGUUUUGGGACUGGCCUGCGUACGAUUAGAUAGUUUGGUAGGGUAACGGCCUACCAAGUCGACGAUCGUUAGAUGGUUUGAGAAGAUGAUCAUCCAGACUGGGACUGAGACACGGCCCAGACUCCUACGGGAGGCAGCAGUAGGGAAUCUUUCACAAUGGGCGAAAGCCUGAUGGAGCAACGCCGCGUGCAGGAUGACGGCCUUCGGGUUGUAAACUGCUUUUAAAAUCGAGAAAUAUGAUGGUAGGUUUUGAAUAAGGACCGGCUAACUACGUGCC